rnacentral:rRNA from 1 species
UGAACGCUGGCGGCGUGCUUAACACAUGCAAGUCGAACGAACCUUCGGGUUAGUGGCGGACGGGUGAGUAACGCGUGAGAAUCUGCCCUCAGGAGGGGGACAACAGCUGGAAACGGCUGCUAAUACCCCAUAUGCCGCGAGGUGAAAUGAAUUUCGCCUGAGGAUGAGCUCGCGUCUGAUUAGCUAGUUGGUGUAGGUAAUGGCUCACCAAGGCAUCGAUCAGUAGCUGGUCUGAGAGGAUGAUCAGCCACACUGGGACUGAGACACGGCCCAGACUCCUACGGGAGGCAGCAGUGGGGAAUUUCCGCAAUGGGCGAAAGCCUGACGGAGCAACGCCGCGUGAGGGAUGAAGGCCUCUGGGCUGUAAACCUCUUUUAUCAAGGAAGAAGAUCUGACGGUACUUGAUGAAUAAGC